rnacentral:tRNA from 1 species
GCCGACGUAGCUCAGUGGUUAGAGCACCUGUUUUGUAAACAGGGGGUCGUGAGUUCGACUCUCACCGUCGGCU